ACGCUGGCGGCAGGCUUACACAUGCAAGUCGAGCGGAGAUGAGGUGCUUGCACCUUAUCUUAGCGGCGGACGGGUGAGUAAUGCUUAGGAAUCUGCCUAUUAGUGGGGGACAACAUUCCGAAAGGAAUGCUAAUACCGCAUACGUCCUACGGGAGAAAGCAGGGGAUCUUCGGACCUUGCGCUAAUAGAUGAGCCUAAGUCGGAUUAGCUAGUUGGUGGGGUAAAGGCCUACCAAGGCGACGAUCUGUAGCGGGUCUGAGAGGAUGAUCCGCCACACUGGGACUGAGACACGGCCCAGACUCCUACGGGAGGCAGCAGUGGGGAAUAUUGGACAAUGGGGGGAACCCUGAUCCAGCCAUGCCGCGUGUGUGAAGAAGGCCUUAUGGUUGUAAAGCACUUUAAGCGAGGAGGAGGCUACUGAGACUAAUACUCUUGGAUAGUGGACGUUACUCGCAGAAUAAGCACCGGCUAACUCUGUGCCAGCAGCCGCGGUAAUACAGAGGGUGCGAGCGUUAAUCGGAUUUACUGGGCGUAAAGCGUGCGUAGGCGGCUUUUUAAGUCGGAUGUGAAAUCCCCGAGCUUAACUUGGGAAUUGCAUUCGAUACUGGGAAGCUAGAGUAUGGGAGAGGAUGGUAGAAUUCCAGGUGUAGCGGUGAAAUGCGUAGAGAUCUGGAGGAAUACCGAUGGCGAAGGCAGCCAUCUGGCCUAAUACUGACGCUGAGGUACGAAAGCAUGGGGAGCAAACAGGAUUAGAUACCCUGGUAGUCCAUGCCGUAAACGAUGUCUACUAGCCGUUGGGGCCUUUGAGGCUUUAGUGGCGCAGCUAACGCGAUAAGUAGACCGCCUGGGGGAGUACGGUCGCAAGACUAAAACUCAAAUGAAUUGACGGGGGCCCGCACAAGCGGUGGAGCAUGUGGUUUAAUUCGAUGCAACGCGAAGAACCUUACCUGGCCUUGACAUACUAGAAACUUUCCAGAGAUGGAUUGGUGCC
rnacentral:rRNA from 1 species